GCAGGAGAGGCGCGUGGUGCUGGGUACCUACCAGUCAUCUGCACGCGCUGCAAGUUCCGCAGGUGCUUUACUGUCAUCUCCAAGAUAUCUGCUUUCUCCAGCUUUGAAUGUCUGGAACUCUGGAAACAAGCAAAAUCACAACCAAUAGGCGUGCAGACUCACCCUUUGGGCGCGGGGCAGACCGAUGAUUGGACAACACCCCCGCGGGCUGUCAGUCACGCGCUGCUCAAUCAGCCCUGGAGGUACAAACAACAAAGCGGUGAGCGCGGCCCGGCAGGUUGUGGAGCGAUAAGGACUAUUGGGGGAAUGUAGUGGCUGUUUGUUACUAACUUUUUUUUGCCCGCAAGAAUUUACCCCUUAGACAGUGGUCUUAGAUGUCUUCAUACCCAAAUUUAAGCCCGUGUGUGAAUGUAGUCCGCAUGUAAUUAACAUGCAAAUAAAUCUAAUUGCAUUACGCUGAUGAAACUGUAUGUUGGGGAAUUUUCACUGAUUAAAAAGCAGCUGUUUCUCCACGCGAGGCGGUGCGCAGCGGCAUGCAGGAAACCAAUGACAGCCGGGAAUUGUGGCGCAAGAAAAGGACCUGUGCCAACGACUCGGGUGUGUGGAGUUAGUAUGUGCUUUGCAAGGUUAAAGACUCGUAUGAAAGAUGAUGCUGACGUAUGUACGGUUUUGAGUAAAGCAACAACUUGUUGCAUGGUAAAGUGUAAUAACGAAAUACAAUUAAUAAAGUAAUCUAGUCGUUCAAUCUGAAAUAACCAAACCAACAAACAAAAAAUAAUAAUAUUGUACAACCGGAAGAAAUAAGGCAACCAGUAUCGGACAUUGAACAUUUGAAAUCGAUGAACUGGCAGUAUCUCAAAUUAAACAUGUGAAAUGAAAUAGAUUUUAUUGUAUGGAUUGUACAAAUUUUGGGAAUGUUCUCAUAUGAACGCUUGCAGAGACAAAAAAACUGCCAAUGGCAGAUCAAUCAAAGGUAAUACAUUUGCACUCCUAUUUACCAAAUUCUGAGUGGGGUACAGUUAAUACAAACUUUAUUGCUAGACCUGAGGAUUUUAUGCUUUGGUAGGAUGGCAUUAUGGCACGUCUCUUAAAGGACCACACUACCUUCUGAUGUGUUUCAGUGCUACAUUUGCUCUGUAGUACAUGAACCCAGUGACCGGACGUUUAUUUAACCUAAAAUGUACUUUGGAUAAUAGCGCUCCUCAGUUUCACAGAUACUGAAGUGACCCUAUGAGAAAAUUCUUUGUUGCUUGAAAGGGGCAGAUCUCUGCAAAUUAAAACAAUUUAAUGCAUUUCACGUAUUCAAUGUGGUCUUCUUUAGUAUGGUUCACACAUAUUCCACAUGACACGCUUAAUAAACAUGGGUUUAGGACAAUGAAUCCCUUACUGUUUAAACUAAAAAAAAUCCCAGUGUGCCCUACUGUUUGGAGCGCAUUACAAUGGAAUUGUUCAGAAAGUGGAAAAUAUUGCUUAACAUUUCUCACAUUAGUUACAGAUCAUUUUACAUGUCAAUUACAUGUACUCUUUGUGAUAUAUAAACAGUGAAUCAGUCAGUGAACGAAAGCAUUUGCUAAGAGAUAAUACUGAAAAUAAAAAUAAUAUUCUUAAACAACCGUUCACCACACCAGCUUUGGAUUUGGAAACGAAAUAAAGGAACUUUUGCUGCACUCUACCGGUGUGUAACCCUUGGCUGAGUGGAGGCGUGUUAAAUAAAGUGUCAUUUCGGGCUGUUUUGUGGCGACUCGCGGGCCAUUGUUGGCGGGUUAGGGAGAGCCGUGCUGGGGCACGCGGGGCACUUGUUUGCUGAAGGCCCACCGGCCUCAGGGGCCAGCUGUGUACAUGGCUCUUCACCUUUAGCCUGUUUGCUUUGGGAUUGGAAGGUAAUGAUGCAAACCUAACCCCUGGAUCCUGGCCAUGCUUCUGCUAAGUCCCUCUCUUCAGAAACCCAAGCCCCUACCUCUUGGAGUUUUAGGAGAAUUUCUUUUUUUAAUUAUUUUAUUUUAAAUGCAGGAAUGCAUCUGACUGGUGUCUUGAGGUAAUACUGUGGCUUCUGCCUGGCAUGUUAUUUAUUCAGCUUCAUACAAGGUAAUAUUAAGUUAUUCAAUUUAAAGGACUUUAUUCACAAUCUUUAACUGAAACUUACAGGGUGUGACCAUUGUCUUCAAUAAUUUGUUGGGUUGGGUAUGUUCAACAGAAUAAGGGUUGUGCUGUCAAAUGUCUGCUGACUGGCUAAAAUUCAGUUAUGAAGGAAUGUUCCACAGAAUUGCAUGCUGUUUGACGUCAAAAAUGAUAAACAAGAAACGCUCUUACCAUUCCAGGAAAACUGCUCUGUAAAUUAAAUCACCUUUUAAAAGCCCUCUGAGUUGCUUCUGCAUAAUGUCUGCCAAAUAAGUAGAAAAUAAACUCAUUUCAAAAUCUGUAUAUUAAUAAUGACAUGUUCUAAAAUAGUUUAAUGUUAGAUUAUAAUUAGUAUUAGUUUCGUUAAUACUUUAAUUGAACCCAGCUUCAUUUUCUUCUUUAUCAGUGGUCACUGUCUAGUUUUAUGUAUUUUCAAGUUUCCACUUGAAAAUAAUUCUUGGGUGACAAACUUUUAGAGCAGAGAAAUGAAUAGUUUAGAACUUGUGGCUUUAGAUCACAUCAGCACGACAUCUUACAAAUGAGAAAACAGGCGUACACAUUUACUCUCUCUCUCGCUCUCUCUCUCUCUCUCACACAAACACACACAAACAAACACACACAGACCGAAUUAUAUGGACUGAAAAUAUCCUAUUCUUUUCAUGAAACCUUGUUAUGUUUCUUGUACACAUGUGUAGAUGGACUGUGGAUAUAUGUGCAUGAACCAGUGUAGGUGCUGGUUCUUUGUUUGCCAGCUGCCAUUAAAAAGCAGAAAGAUUAAACGCAUCACCCUAAUCCAUCUCAUGGCCUGUAAUAAGCAUUACCGGCUAUGCUGGGCCCUCACAGUAGAGGAACACAAUGAAUAGUUAAAUAUUAAGAGGCUCGCUGAUCUCCCCAGAUUACAGGGGACAGGCGGUGAAAUGGGAUUGGUCUGAGAAUAAACUCUCUGAUGGCAGCUCAGGUAAGAGUGAACCUGAGGCACUGGCUUUGCACUGAAAUCUCUCUCAAAACUAUUUAGGCCAGAAUUUAAACUGACUUCGCUUUCUGGAGUUUUGUUUGAUACUAUUUGAGUUUUGGUGUAUGUCUUUAAAUGACCCAGGCAGUUUUUGUGUGCAUUGAAAUGCAGUGAAAUAUUUGAGAUACUUACAGACGUUUCUGCAGACCUGAAGGUUAUACAGUGACCUGAAUUGGGGCAUUCUAUGUUUGUGGUCUAAUCUGCAAGAAAAAAAAACAUAAAGUAAUGUCAAAGCAGCUUUUACACUGACAUACCUCCAGAGGGUGUACAUAUGUAUAAUACUUUUAUUAUUAGUCAAUAAUCUUAUUUUUAGUUGUAUCUAUUUCCUGUGGAGCAUGCAACAUGAGAAAGAACUAUUGACACGGAUGUAGAAACUGACAAAAAUGUGUUCCCUUCCCUCUGCAUGUGCAGACCCAUGCAGUAAUUUUAUCAGUGUCCCUGUAGCUCACUGAAUGACCAGAAAUAAACACAAAUGAUCCAAGAGAUCAUUUAUUGACUAAAAGAGUGCUGCUGUGGUCUCAAGUGCUGGUUGUGGAAGAGGGUGCCUGUGCUACCUUUUUAAAGAAUAAUAUCUGUACAAAGUAUUGACCUGGGGUCAAUCUGCCCAUCAACGGAAUCAGUCUUAUAAACACGUGGGAUCUCUUAAAAUAUACUGCAUGUAUCACAUCUUAAAAUGAAUACCCUUAGACUUUGUGGCCUGUCAUUUUUUGUGCCUUUUAUCUAUUGAAAUUUCGUUUUUUUUUUCUUCAGAAUGAUGAUUUAUGAGAGGUAAUUCAAUUUCUGGAGCCUGAAUUAUGGAAAUAUUUUUCUUUUGUCGCGUUUGUGAAUAUCCUGCGUUUCUUCAAAGCGCAACGUUAGCACAACCAGCGGCGUAAGACUGAAAGCCAUUUCAUGGACCUUCACUUUAUUCUUUCUUAAUCUUAUUACUCAUUUUUUUGUUCUCAUACCUGCAAAAAAAAAAAAGAAAAAAAGAAAAGCCGGGAUCAAUUAUAUUUGCUUUGCUUUUCAAACAGUUUGUUUUCAUUUUGCCAUCUGUGGACCAGCAUGUCCCUCACAAUACGCUGGCAUUCACCGAAACUCCCUGCCUCUGUCCUCAGAAAGAGACCCCUUUCUCUUGUUUUUUUGGCCCAAUUCAUGGCUUUCUUCCCUUUUUUAAGUGGCCCGUUGAUGAGGUUGGCCUAAUCAGAUUAAGUCAACUCAAGUCGGCUGCUGCAGUUUGUUUUCGUCCUGAAGGC